GUUAGAGAUGCACACCUGGUUGAGAAGCAGUAUGUGGCAUGUCACAAACCCAGCCAAUUAAAGUUAAAAUAAAGGGAAUAAACUAGUUUAAAAGUCAUUCUACUUCCAAAGUAUGGUUCGACGGUGGUGUUGGUGAUGUUGGUGGCAUCAGAGGCCUUUAAGUCUCAAGAUUGUACAAGCCACAAUAAAGAUUAAUCAAGCCAUCAGUAAAAAGAACUCUUUAUUGACAACACGAGGAGGUGGUGUGUUGUAUUUGGAGUGAUUCGUGCAUGUUUGAGUCAUCUUUAUUCUCCUCUAAAGUCUCUUUUUCACGCUUACAUCACAAACCAGGAAGAUGUACGGAAAGAUGUGAUUUCAACUUCCCAGGCCCAGUUUUCUUCA